rnacentral:rRNA from 1 species
UCUAGAGGCUUCGGCAAUGGGGGAAACCCUGACCGAGCGACGCCGCGUGUGGGAUUGAAGGCCUUCGGGUCGUAAACCACUGUCAUGAGGGAAGAAUACCCGGAUGGCGAAUCCGGGGGUGACGGUACCUCAAGAGGAAGCCCCGGCUAACUCCGUGCCAGCAGCCGCGGUAAUACGGAGGGGGCAAGCGUUGUUCGGAUUUACUGGGCGUAAAGGGUGUGUAGGCGGCUGCGUAAGUCUGGUGUGAAAUCUUCACCGCUUAACGGGAAGAGGUCACUGGAAACUGCGUAGCUCGAGAAUGGUAGAGGCAAGCGGAAUUCCUGGUGUAGCGGUGGAAUGUGUAGAUAUCAGGAAGAACACCUGUGGCGAAGGCGGCUUGCUGGGCCAUCACUGACGCUGAGACACGAAAGCGUGGGGAGCAAACGGG